rnacentral:lncRNA from 1 species
AUGCUACCUCCGCGAUUUCAACUUCCAAGGUUGUUAACCCCUCAUGAUCUCCCGUUAUAUUGCAGGAUUUCUCCAUAAUAGCUCUCAAAGAUUCAAGCUUUUCAUAGAAUGGUUGCAAAUCACAUCCAGUAAGUUCCAUUGACUGGUGUAUGGUUCUCAUAAGGGAAGUAACAGCAGCAUAAGCCAUAUAUCCAAAAAAUAGGAAUCUCUCACACUCAGUAUGAAAAUGGACAAAUUAAUUGCCACAAGUUAUGUAAUCUUUCUUUUACUAACUAUUUCCAUCACAUUUCUAGCUAGGUCCACUAACAGGUAAAGUAGAAAGAUGUGAGGUCCCUAACCUUAUCAUCAUGUAGACAAAAGAAGAGACCAAAGUUUUUAAAAAAAAGACAGGAAAAAGUAGAAAAAUUUGUGAUCAUUCAUUAUUAGACCCUACACUAAUCUCUUUAGAAAAAUAAACUAAAAUUUUAGUUUAAAUAAAGGAGUUCAAGCUGUAUAUUGAUAACGCCCAAUUCAAAUUCAAGUGUAGUACGGUCUAGCAAUAAUAAACUCAACAAAUGUUGGGGUCGAGGAGUAUGCUUGUGUCAAGGUGACAGAGAAUGCGAAUUUGCGAAUUUCCUAAGCUUAUCUACAAAUAAAAGGUCUUUCUUUUAGCUAGGUCCAUAAUCCAUGUAGUGCUCUCUACUCUCUAGUCUCUAUCAACCAACUCAAGUUUAAGGGUGUGUUUGGUAUGGAGGAAACAUUUUCUCUAGAAUAGGGAGAGUUUUGUGCAUAAACAAAGAAGAAUAUCUCAGUAUAACAGUGAAUGUGUAUUUUUUUUAUGAUUUGCUUCAUUUGAGUAUGACUUUUGUAAGAAAAUUCUGGUAAAAGUUUAAAAAAUGAUCUUGUGGAAUAAGCACAGUGAAUUCCUUAAUAUUCGAGUAGAAAAAGCCAGGGAGGAUAACAUUGCUAUUUGUACACUUAUCGUGACACGAGUAGUCUCUUAAAUAUUACACCUUUCUACUGGUGUUGCUGGUGCCACUGAAUUUAGCCUUCCGUCUUCCUUUGCGAGGUAGAUUGAGGACUCCCAAGAAAGGAAACACAAGGUACUGGAGUCUGUUCCGGCCUCUACAGUAUGUAUGUACAUAAAAUUUGGAGUAACUAAAAAACCACUGACAAAUGGCUAUACGAAAGAUCAUAUACAAUUUAAUUACAAGCCAUUUGCAAUCAUCCUGCCCCUUUAUGCAGAAUCUUUUCAAAGAAAAUGAAAACAAACACUCACACAUUUGGCUUCUGAUUGACAUUUAUUUCAGAGAACUGGCUAGUCCUCAGAACACCUUAACUACUCGCUGCAGAAAAAAAAAGACGCAAAAAAUGGAAAAUAAUAUGUUAGAUGUCCCAUAAUUAAGGAACAGGAGAACAUUAUAGCAAGAAUGAGCAUGCAGGUAUAAGAACUUACACAUUAUUGCGGCAAGAAGCAACUUCUUUCUCAAAGUCAAUAUCAUCAUCUUCAUCUAUUGUUACACUACAUCGAAAAUGCUUGCUACAAAAGAUGAAAAAUGAAAUGUUACACUUCCCAAAAUCAAGAAUGAGCAUGCAAGUAUAACAACUUACACAAUAUUGGAAGGAUUCGAAUCAAUCACAAUGACAGCAUCAAGAACUUUUGUUGAAUUGGUGUAAUUUGACUUACUAAAGCUAUUAUCCAGAUUAUUAUCGAGUUUACUAUAAUGAUGAGUUAAAUAUUGUUGUAAAUCAAGGAAGAAGAUGUACUUACUAAAGAUUACGAGUAUGGACCUCGAUAGAGCUUCCAUAGUUGUCUUGAAUGUCCUGUUGAAUUUGCUUGGCGGAAUUCCCAACAGAUUGUUGACAGUAACUUAUAUCAAUAAGAGCUAGUGUGGUUAUAUCUGCAAAAUCUCGAGGGAUUGAAUCCAAAUAAUAGCAACUUCUAAGAAAAAGUCGUUCAAGGUACGGAAAGUGAUCACUACUAGCUCUCCAGUACCGAAUGCAUACUUCAUGCAGAAACAAGAACUUCAAGUGAGGAAACCCUUCCUCAACUACUUCCCACUCCUCGCCUAUGAAGGAUUUCCAUGAUAGUUUAAGGACCUCGAGUUUGGGUAAUUUACCAACAAUGCUCAAAUCCUUCCAUGCCAAAAAGAAUUCUCCGCUAAAAGUUAAACUCUUAAGGUUUUGUGGAAAAGCAUCCGGAGGAGGUAAGCGUAAAGUUGAAACAUCAGUUGGAGGUGCAGUUGCCCUGAAAGGUAAGAGUAAACUUGUAUAAAGUUGAACAACUAGCCACAUGAGUCCUACAUGACACAAUACACAUAAGACACCAACUAUUUCCAUCACAUUUCCAGCUAGGUCCACUAACAGGAUAAAGUAGAAAGAUGUGAGGUCACUAACCUUAUCAUCAUGUAGACAAAAGAAGAGACCAAAGUUAAAAAAAAAAAAGACAGGAAAAAGUAGAAAAAUUUGUGAUCAUACAUUAUUAGACCCUACACUAAUCUCUUUAGAAAAAUAAGUUUCAAUAAAGGAGUUCAAGCUGUAUAUUGAUAACGUCCAAUUCAAAUUCAAGUGUAGUACGGUCUAGCAAUAAUAAACUCAACAAAAGUUGGGGUCGAGGAGUACACUUGUGUCAAGGUGACAGAGAGUGUUCUGGCCUAUACAGUAUGUAUGUAUGUACAUAAAAUUUGGAGUAUCUAAAGAACCACUGACAAAUGGCUAUACGAAAGAUCAUAUACAAUUAAAUUACAAGCCAUUUGCAAUCAUCCUGCCACCUUAUGCAGAAAAAAUGAAAAUUCUGAUUUGACAUUUAUUUCAGAGAACUGGCUAGUCCUCAGAACACCUUAACUACUCGCUGCAGAGAAAAAAAAAAGACACAAAAAAUGGAAAAUAAUAUGUUAGAUGUCCCAUAAUUAAGGAACAAGAGAACAUUAUAGCAAGAAUGAGCAUGCAGGUAUAAGAACUUACACAUUAUUGCGGCAAGAAGCAACUUCUUUCUCAAAGUCAUCUUCAUCUGUUGUUAUAUCGAAAAUGCUUUCUACAAAAGAUGAAAAAUGAAAUGUUACACUUCCCAAAAUCAAGAAUGAACAUGCAAGUAUAACAAGUUACACAAUAUUGGAAGGAUUCAAAUCAAACACAAUGACAGCAUCAAGAACUUUUGUUGAAUUGGUGCAAUUGGACUUACUAAAGCUAUUAUCCAGAUUAUUAUCGAGUUUACUAUGAUGAUGAGUUAAAUAUUGUUGUAAAUCAAGGAAGAAGAUGUCUUACAAAAGAUGACGAGUAUGGACCUCGAUAGAGCUUCCAUAGUUGUCUUGAAUGUCCUGUUGAAUUUGCUUGGCGGAUUUCCCAACAGAUUGUCGACAGCUACUUAUAUCAAUAAGAGCUAGUGUGGUUAUAUCUGCAAAAUCUGGAGGGAUUGAAUCCAAAUCAUAGCAAUUUCUAAGAAAAAGUCGUUCAAGGUACGGAAAGUGAUCACUACUAGCUCUCCAGUACCGAAUGUAUAUGUUAUCCAGAAACAAGAACUUCAAGUGAGGAAACCCUUCCUCAACUACUUCCCACUCCUCGCCUAUGACGGCAUUGUCUGAUAGUUUAAGGACCUCGAGUUCGGGUAAUUUACCAACAAUGCUCAAAUCCUUCGAUGCCAAAAAGAAUUCUCCGCUAAAAGUUAAACUCUUAAGGUUUUGUGGAAAAGCAUCCGGAGGAGGUAAGAGUAAAGUUGGAACAUCAGCUGGAGGUGCAGCUUUCCCGAAUUGUGUCUUUUUGUACAAUAAUUUCGUCUGAAACCUCAGAGGAUCUUGCGGAGUAGAACCUGAAGGUGCAGUGCUUUCUAGAACGCAAGCAGCACCUGGAUAAUAAACACGAAAUGCCAAUUUCUCGAGCUGAUAUAAGUAGCGAAAAUCAUACAGGUCCUUGUGAUUGCGAAAGUCCUCUUGGACGCCAAAUACUUUCAACUUCUUUAAAUUGGGAAAUAGUCUAAAAAAAGACCCUGUACAAUUCCGAGGAUUCAAUUGAUUGAGACAUUGCAAACUUUUCAAAACCAAUCUGUUCUCUGUAGGCUCAUGACUCCGCAAGUAAUUCCAGCCCAUACGCAGCUUCCUCAAUUGUGGCAUCGUCAAAAUUUCCGAUGGUAAUAUGAAAGGAUAACUAUCGGUAAAUGGAAGGUAAAGUUUAAAAGUUUGCAGAUAGCAUAGGCAUGAUAUCGAUAGAGGAAUGUCUAUUAUUGAUGAGGGAACAGCUUCUAUCGAUCCUCGAUACUGCAGUAAGCAAGGAUUAAAACACAAAGAUAGGUAUCUCAAAUGAAUUAGAGAAAGUACUCCACUGGGAAAAAUUGGGCAUGGAGUCCAACCAAGAUCUAGUACUCUUACUAGCUUGAAAGACAAUUCCAGUGUGAUGCAAUUGAAUCCACGCAACAUGAUAAUAGAAUGAGCCUCACUGUUACGACACCAAGCCAAUUCUUCCUCCUUAUAGAUACUGAUCCGACUUCGCUUCUUAAAGGAACACUGCAUGGAUUGUGCACAUGAAUUUUGAUCACUCUUUCCUCUGAUAACAUUCACAAAAUUCAUGUUUCGAGCUUCCCUCAAACAGAGUUCACGGGUCACAUCAUGCAUUCCACAGCUCUGUAUUUCCCCAUCAAAACUCAAUUUGUGGAUAGAAAUUAGACUUCUAUCUACAAGUUCGUUUAUACAUGUUUCUGCCACCUCUUCUAUGCUUUUUCCCUCUUCUUCAUUCAAAAACCCCUCUACGGCCAAUAACUCAACAAGUUUAUUUACAAAAAUCCGUUCAUCCUCUGCGAAAAUUGCAAAAUACAGAAAACACGGUUUUAGGUGAGAAGGCAAGUGAUGGUAACUCAAAGCCAACACUCUCAUGCAUUGUGCUUCAGGAUCUGUGCUUACCACCGAACUUACAUUCUCCGCAAUUCUUUGCCACUCAUCUAAUCUUUGACCGAUUUUGGAGAGAAGUCCAGCAGUCACAGUAAUUGCUAGAGGUAAUCCUCCACAUUUUAAUGCAAUUUGUUUCCCAAUAUUUUCAAAUUCAGGAGAAUAAGAACCUUCUUUUUCAAAGAUCUUUUUGUGUAGUAAAUUCCAACUUUCGUCAAAAUUCAUGAGGCGCAUGUGAUGAGGAGGCUUACCUGAACUAGCAUAUUCAGCCACUUCCACAUUCCGAGUAGUCAGGAGUAUUUUGCUUCCAUUAAUACAGUCCAUAUGUCAUCAAUGACUACCAAGUAUCUCCUGCCUUUCAGAUGCUUUUGCAGUCGGUCCGCUAGUUGAUUCUCAGGUUCAUCACUUAUCGAAGAAAGAAGGCCUAGGAUUACAUUUCUCACACAAUACUCCUGCGAAACAGUUACUUUUGCACGAAUAUCAAAUCGAGACAUAAUGUAAGGAUCACUAUAGAGUUUUGCAGCCAAAGUUGUUUUCCCGAUGCCUCCCAUCCCUACGAUUGAGACAACUUCUAGUUCCCUUCCUCCUCUAGCAAGUUGAUCCAGCAUCAUCUCAAAUUCAUUUUCACGGCCAACCAUUAUAUUCUCGGGCUGCUCAACAUCAUGUUCAGGUAAACUGACAAGUGAGCUAGUUUGUGGUUUUAGAUCUUUCAUGCUGUCCGAUGCUGCCAUCCACUGUUUCACGGUGGAAGCAAUGCAUUCUAGUGCUUGUUCCAAGACGAAAAAAAUCUCCCACAUAGCCCUGCUUCUUUCCUCCAAAUUCUGUGCUAAAAAAACAUUUCUUGAUUCCGAGUCAACCAUAUCUUCUGUUGUGUAUGCUACCUCUACGAUUUCAACUUCCAAGAUUGUUAACUCCUCAUGAUCGCCCGUUAUAUUGCAGGAAUUCUCCAGAAUAGUUCUUAAAGAUUCGAGCUUCUGUGUAUGCUACCUCUACAAUUUCAACUUCCAAGAUUGUUAACUCCUCAUGAUCGCCCAUUAUAUUGCAGGAUUUCUCCAGAAUAGCUCUCAAAGAUUUGAGCUUUUCAUAAAACGGUUGCAAAAUCACAUCCAGUAAGUUCCAUUGAUUGAUGUAUGGUUCUCAUAAGGGAAGUAACAGCAGCAUAAGCCAUAUAUACCAAAAAAUAGAAAUAUCUCUCAG